CAGAGAAUAGUAUAGUUCAGAAUUGUGGCUUUGGGAGCCAGGGGUGAGAGUUAAAAUCUCUUUUUUUUUG
rnacentral:tRNA from 1 species